rnacentral:tRNA from 2 species
GGCGGCGUAGCUUAGCUGGCUAUAGCGUUCGGUUCAUACCCGAAAGGUCAGUGGUUCGAGUCCACUCGCCGCCACCA